CGCUCGUUCCCUCCAUUGCGUUCAUCUCACCCGCCUACAUCUCUCGUCCCCUCUGGCUUGUUGAGCUCGAGCGUGCGUCGUCCUUGCGAGGGAGGCCUCCGGCGAAUGCACAAGCUUCUUGACCAAAAGCGUAGCAGCGCGUGAGCCUGCCCAUGGUAGCGCACGAGGGAGCCUGUUGCCAGGAUGCUCGAGGAUGCUGGCGCAGGUUCCAUGGACAGGCAUGUUCGCCUUAGCUUCAGAUCCGGGUCGGUGUUGUGGUCCUUUUUUUUCUUGGUUCCGAAGAUUUAUGGGUUGCUCCGUGGAUUCCUCUUGUGGAUUUGUUCUCCGAUUUUUCUUGAUUUCCUGUUGAAUUCCCAUGAUUUAUGUUUUUUCCCAUGACUUCCCGUUGCAGAUUGUUGGCGUGCGGGUCCAGCAUGCUCCAGAGCGGCGGCACCAGCGACAAAAGGACGAGGUGGGGGUGACGUGGUAGAUUCAGCAGGCGGAGCUCGAGCAGUGGGUUGGACGGGGUGGGAGCUGACAAUGCGCGAGACGGCGAGCCGCACGAUAUAUCUGGCAACCGAUUUUGCAUCCACGGAUAUUCCUCACCUUUGAUCUGGAUGUUCUCUCUUUUCUUCUUCACCUUUCACCUUUGAUCUGGAUGUUUUUCUCUUUUCUCUUUCGUCUUCCUUUCAAAGCAGUCUCCUUUUUCUGUUCUGAUUGAGUUCCAAUCAUCAAGAGCACGGGAAAGGGAUUUUUUUUUUCAAAUCGUUGAGAACUACGAUUGUGUAACUCUCAGGAUUGCGGGUUGAUUAAGAAAAAUAUGAGGAUUUUUUUUACAAA
rnacentral:lncRNA from 1 species